rnacentral:other from 12 species
ACCGGUGAGUACACCGGAAUUGCCAGGACGACCGGGUCCUUUCUUGGAUCAACCCGCUCAAUGCCUGGAGAUUUGGGCGUGCCCCCGCGAGACUGCUAGCCGAGUAGCGUUGGGUUGCGAAAGGCCUUGUGGUACUGCCUGAUAGGGUGCUUGCGAGUGCCCCGGGAGGUCUCGUAGACCGUGCAUCAUGAGCACACUUCCAAAACCCCA